GAUGAAGAACGUAGUAAAAUGCGAUAAGUAAUGUGAAUUGCAGAAUUCAGUGAAUCAUCGAAUCUUUGAACGCACAUUGCGCCCGCUGGUAUUCCGGCGGGCAUGCCUGUUCGAGCGUCAUUUCAACCCUCAAGCCCCCGGGUUUGGUGUUGGGGAUCGGCUCUGCCCUUCUGGGCGGUGCCGCCCCCGAAAUACAUUGGCGGUCUCGCUGCAGCCUCCAUUGCGUAGUAGCUAACACCUCGCAACUGGAACGCGGCGCGGCCAUGCCGUAAAACCCCAACUUCUGAAUGUUGACCUCGGAUCAGGUAGGGAUACCCGCUGAACUUAAGCAUAUCAAUAAGCGGAGGA
rnacentral:misc_RNA from 1 species